rnacentral:rRNA from 1 species
AUUGAACGCUGGCGGCAGGCCUAACACAUGCAAGUCGAACGAGUGGCGGACGGGUGAGUAAUGUCUGGGAAACUGCCCGAUGGGGGGGGAUAACUACUGGAAACGGUAGCUAAUAACGCAUACCAUCGGAUGUGCCCAGAUGGGGUUAGAUAGUGGGUGGGGUAACGGCGCACCUAGGCGACGAUCCCUAGCUGGUCUGAGAGGACGGCCAGCCACACUGGAACUGAGACACGGUCCAUACUCCUACGGGAGGCAGCAGUGGGGAAUAUUGCACAAUGGGCGCAAGCCUGACGCAGCCAUGCCGCGUGUAUGAAGAAGGUCUUCGGGUUGUAAAGUACUUUCAGCGAGGAGGCGUUACUCGCAGAAGAAGCAACGGCUAACUCCGUGCCAGCAGCCGCGGUAAUAC